rnacentral:rRNA from 1 species
AUUGAACGCUGGCGGCAUGCUUUACACAUGCAAGUCGAACGGCAGCGCGGGCUUCGGCCUGGCGGCGAGUGGCGAACGGGUGAGUAAUACAUCAGAACGUGCCCAGUAGUGGGGGAUAGCUCGGCGAAAGCCGGAUUAAUACCGCAUACGACCUGAGGGUGAAAGCGGGGGAUCUUCGGACCUCGCGCUAUUGGAGCGGCCGAUGGCAGAUUAGCUAGUUGGUGGGGUAAAGGCCUACCAAGGCGACGAUCUGUAGCUGGUCUGAGAGGACGACCAGCCACACUGGGAGUGAGACACGGCCCAGACUCCUACGGGAGGCAGCAGUGGGGAAUUUUGGACAAUGGGCGAAAGCCUGAUCCAGCAAUGCCGCGUGUGUGAUGAAGGCCUUCGGGUUGUAAAGCACUUUUGGCGGGAACGAAAAGGACUGUGCCAAUACCACGGUUCGAUGACGGUACCCGCAGAAUAAGCACCGGCUAACUACGUG